GAAGAUCAAGCAAAGGCAACAGGGGCUGAGCUAGGGCUGUGGCACUUCUCGUUUGCACCAUCACCAUCCAUGAAACUUACAAUCAAGAUGUAGGCCGGGUUGGGCGGGUGUGUGUUGCGCAUUGGUAGGCGACGACGUCAAAUUUGGGGCAGGGCAGUCCGCUCCUCCAGUCUGUCACGCGAUGCAUCAGAGAUUACACAUAUGCAAUCUCAAGCACUGAUUUUCUAUACAAAACAUUUACUCACUGGCACAAAACAGACGAAAAGAUCAGUCCUAGCUUUUUGUUCACUUGCUAACUGAAGUGUAGCAUCUAUGAAUCUUUCAAACUUGAAUCAAAUAGGGAUCAGACAGGAACUUGUUCAUGAACUUAUUUGUUCAUGGAUUUACAUCAAACAGGGAAUCAAAGCAGGCACUGGCAAACAUUGGACUACUAUAAAGUACAGGCAACGCCCAACUUAUAGAGAUUGGACGCCCAGUUUAAACAGAAAAAAGUACGCGCAACGGUAGUACACGCCCAAAUUAGACAGACUGAUUUUCAUUUCUUUGAAAGCGCAAAUCUCCAAGCAAUAUUCAACAAGCGUUGGACUAAUAUGAGUACAGGUUAGUACAAGUCCAUCUUACACAGUUUGGUUCCUUGCCCCCUUACAUGAUUGAUAUACACCAACUCUAUGAUACCCAGAUUUUAAAAGUAAUGAGUUAUAGAUCAAGUAAGAAAUCAUGGAUCAAGUAAGAAAUCAUGAAGACUGAACCUGGUAUUCAAUGCUAAGCAGUGGACAUGAUGACUUGUGCUACUUGCGCUGCAUCAUCAACCAAUUUGAGCUAUCAUAGAAAAUUGCCACAACCUCCAGCAUCAACAGUGGCAUAUCAUUCUCGCCUUGACCAAUUACCUGAAUACAAAUGAAUCAAAUCUGACCCUAAAUCUGUCUCUGUAGCAAACAGAGAGAAGCUGAGUCACUCACCUCGGUCGCAUCUGCUGAAAAGUAGUACUUGGGGCAGGGGGCAGAGAAGUUGGUAGCCGUGACGACGAUGGAGGUGCCGGGAGGCAGUACUUGAGGUCCAUCACGCAACCCCAACUCGUCCACCAAUGCCGCCCGCGCAUGCUCACUCCCCAUGGACCUGUGGGGAGUAGGGGUGGGGGACAGAAUAGGGAGGGAGUAUGGAGAAGGGGAGGAUGGAGCGCCGGGAGCAUGUCAUCCACCAUGGUUGGGCCUGGGAGGAGUAGUGGUGGGGGUAGAUGAUGGAGAAGAGGGGCGGAUGGAGCACCGGUGUGCAGGCCGGAGAGGCGGCGGCUCCAACCCUAGCUCGUUCCUACAUGGGGGAAAGGAGGGGGUGAAGGCGAGGCAGCUGUCCACCCGGGGAGCACCCCCUCCCUGAUCCACUGGCUCGCGCGUGGAGGCGGCGGCGCCAUGCCCGUACGCAUCCGGGAGGAGAUGUCCGUCUUCGUGUCUGCUAGUGUUUUUCUUUACAAUGAAACAUUUUCUCCGUUG
rnacentral:lncRNA from 1 species